GGGUUUAGACGUCCAAAUGUUGCGCUCACGUAAUUUCAGAUAAUGACUGCCUCAAAUCCAAGUAUCAAUUAGGUGCGGUUUCUAUAAUUUACAAAAUGGGACUUUUUCUAAUUAAGGCAAAAAAGUUGGAGUAAGACGGCGUUAUAUGUACAUAGAUAAAACUCUAAUCCAUCAUAAUGAGUGGAGCCUUAUUCAAUCAUUUGAUGGUGAUUUUUCUAUCGAUAAUUUGUAGUUGUGGAAUCUUUAUGAAUUUAUGUGCCCUCUACAUGCUUAAAUUACGACCACUAUUUGAUAAUUAUACUAAAACCUAUCUUUCAAAUAUUUGCUUUUGCAAUAUUGGAAUGACAGUCAUGGAUUACAUGUUUUUCAACGCUUUCAGUAAGGCACGUGCAGUUUACUACAUAUUCAAUAUUGCAACUUUGCUGCUUCUUACAGCCUUAUCCAUACAUUUCUUCCUACACAUAUAUGAAGAAAAAGAGCAUAUGAAUUGCAAAUUUUUAACCGUUAUGAUAGUUUCUAUCAUAUGGUUUUUUUGCAUUGUCUACAUGAUCCUGUACAUGAUUUCUUUCGAAAGUACAGAUGCAUAUGAGUUUAAAGACUCUCAGAUUCUGGAGUCACGUUCACUGUGGUAUUCCUAUCAACAUUUUACUUUUGCUCUCUCAGCUUUAUUAAUGAUUAUGUCACUCGCAUUGAUUGCAAUCGUGCAAAUGAAGAAUUAUAGAAAUGUAGUACUGGGUUGGACUGAAGAUUGGGAAUGGAGGAAAAAAAUUCUUCCUUCAAUAUCGCAUUUUUCUCACUGGAAAGAUUUCAAGUACCCGAAAAAAUUCUUCUCCUAUAACGAAAGAUGCUAAGAAUUUUUUUCCGAAAACAGGAUUGCUUAAAUAAGAAAUGUCUCUUGGAAAAUAACUGGCUGAAAUCUGCAACAAAAUUAGGAAGACAUUUUUUACCUUUAGUUUGGACCUUAGUAACAUACUUCAUCUGCAGCCUCGCCAGAUACGUCUCAAUAAUUGGGUCCUUACUUUCGUAUUGUAAACUCUAUGAAACUAUACUGGACAGUUUCAAUGGAAGUGCAUCACCAUGUCGCAUUUUAAAAUUUUUGAGUUGCAUGCAGUACUUUCUGGUUCCUUUCUUUAUUUUAAAAGUAGUUUUUCGAGCAGAAAGUUUAUUAUUAAAGCUGCAACGCAGAGAAGCAGUAAAUCCAAAUAUUCCAGUUUAUCUUCAAAAUACUACAAUUUUGUAAAUGAAAAUU